AUGACUACUGAUUUGGCUGAGCAAAAUCCUGCAUUGGUCGAACCAGCAAAACUAAUCCUGAAGAAGUCCAAUGGACUUCCCCUUGCGAUAGUCGCCAUAGGUGGUUUCUUGGCUGAUCAACCAACAAAAACUGCUGCAGAGUGGAGGAAACUGAAUGAGCAUAUCAAUGUUGAGCUGGAGAUGAAUCCAAAGUUUGAAGUCAUAAAAACAGUCCUUAUGAAAAGUUAUGAUGGCCUACCCUAUUACCUCAAACCUUGUUUCCUGUACAUGUCCAUCUUUCCUGAAGACCGGAAUGUUAGUCGGAGACGCUUAACUCACCGGUGGAUCGCUGAAGGUUAUGCGCGAGAUGAGGCCACAGCAAAUAGAUACUUCAUGGAACUCAGAGAGAGAAGCAUGAUAUUACCAACUCAGCAAUAA
rnacentral:rRNA from 1 species